AUAAGCUGCCCAUAGCUCAGUGGGCUUGAAGGCCUGAUGUAAACACUCAGAGGGCGGGACCUGCCGGCAGCCUUCUCUUUCUGUGCUUUGUGCUCGGAGUCACCCCCCUAGGGGGAGUAGCGGUGUGUCUUGCUGAGAGGUGCUGUGGGUGAAGAUGGUGAAGGUGAGUCAUCUCCUUGGACAUUUCCAAGACACAAGAUCCAGAGACCUGACUGCUCCAUCCCGAGAGCCAAGAGGUCCUCAGUAGGAGGGGCCACACACGAACACACAGUGUCAACCGAGUGCGCCAGCUGGGAGACAAGUCACGACCCUCUGGGCAGCCUCUGUAUUCUCUGCCCAGAAGACCAUCUCUCUUGUGGCCUGAGUCCUCUGGUCUGCUUCUCCACUUCUUUGCUCAAAGAGCUGGUCAUGGCGGAGGUGAAAAAACAAGAUGCAGUUUUCCUCUGCAGAAAGGAGUAUGUUCCAGCCAAGUUGGCUGAUGAGUGAUUUUCUGCAAGUAGAAUAAUUGGACAUGUGUUCCCAUGGCAACAGUGCCUUUCCUGGAAACCGUUUGGAAGGGAAGGCAGGAGGCGAGGGACCAGCUCUGGCUUGCUGGCUGCUUCAGAGCCCUAUGGGGUCGGGCCAGGCAGAGGCUGUGGUGCGGCCCCACCAUCCACCCAUCCCUCACACUGCUGCCCUGGUCCCGGGGCCACAGGAAUCGUUUCCAUGUCCUGCUCAGAGAUGUUCUGAGCUCACACCCACAGUUCCCAGAAUCUGUUGUUUCACCCUUCCCAUGAACACAAAACAUCAUUUAAAAAAAUACAACAUUUUUACAAUGCACGCAUUCGUGAUUUACAGAUGCUCUCAUGAGCACUGCCCUGGGGUGUUCUGAGAAAAGCCUUGGAAGGUUUAUGACGUUACAAUUCCCAUUUUACAGAUGUGGAAACUGAGGCCGGCCUCAAAUAAUUGACUGGUACACAGAGAUGUGUACCAGUACACUGGGGAGAUGCCAGGCAGGGGUGAUCCCUUCCUGGGAGCUCAGGGCACUCUCCGCCCGCCUCCGAUGUGAGGUGGCCUCGCCUUAACCUCCCUCCUCCAAGCGGGGAGUUCUGGUGACUCGUCCCUGGAAGAGAGUGGCUCCCAGGAGGGGGAUGUUUCUGGCUGCUGCUUCUAUGUGAGAUUUCGUCAGUGUCUGCCUCCCUCUCCACAGCCUGAAGGAUACUGGCCUCCAAUAAAAGUGGUAAUUGGAUGAGGAAGAA
ensembl:lncRNA